rnacentral:rRNA from 1 species
UACGUAGGGACCGAGCGUUGUCCGGAAUCAUUGGGCGUAAAGAGCGUGUAGGCGGCCACUUAAGUCCUGCGUGAAAUCUUGCGGCUCAACCGCAAGCGGUCGUGGGAAACUGGGUGGCUAGAGUGCGGGAGAGGAGAGUGGAAUUCCUGGUGUAGCGGUGAAAUGCGCAGAUAUCGGGAGGAACACCGGUGGCGAAGGCGGUUCUCUGGGCCUGUACUGACGCUGAGGAGCGAAAGCGUGGGGAGCAAACAGG